rnacentral:rRNA from 1 species
AACGAACGCUGGCGGCAUGCCUAACACAUGCAAGUCGAACGAGACCUUCGGGUCUAGUGGCGCACGGGUGCGUAACGCGUGGGAACCUGCCCUUAGGUUCGGAAUAACUCCCCGAAAGGGGUGCUAAUACCGGAUAAUGUCUUCGGACCAAAGAUUUAUCGCCUUUGGAUGGGCCCGCGUUGGAUUAGCUAGUUGGUAGGGUAAAAGCCUACCAAGGCGACGAUCCAUAGCUGGUCUGAGAGGAUGAUCAGCCACACUGGGACUGAGACACGGCCCAGACCCCUAGGGGAGGCAGCAGUGGGGAAAAGUGGAAAAUGGGCGAAAGCCUGAUCCAGCAAUGCCGGGUGAGGGAUGAAGGCAUUAGGGGUGUAAAGCUCUUUUACCCGGGAUGAUAAUGUCAGUACCGGGAGAAAAAGCCCCGACUAACUCCGU